GAUGAAGCCCUUCGGGGUGGAUUAGUGGCGAACGGGUGAGUAACACGUGGGCAAUCUGCCCUUCACUCUGGGACAAGCCCUGGAAACGGGGUCUAAUACCGGAUACCACUCCUGCCUGCAUGGGCGGGGGUUGAAAGCUCCGGCGGUGAAGGAUGAGCCCGCGGCCUAUCAGCUUGUUGGUGGGGUAAUGGCCCACCAAGGCGACGACGGGUAGCCGGCCUGAGAGGGCGACCGGCCACACUGGGACUGAGACACGGCCCAGACUCCUACGGGAGGCAGCAGUGGGGAAUAUUGCACAAUGGGCGAAAGCCUGAUGCAGCGACGCCGCGUGAGGGAUGACGGCCUUCGGGUUGUAAACCUCUUUCAGCAGGGAAGAAGCGAAAGUGACGGUACCUGCAGAAGAAGCGCCGGCUAACUACGUGCCAGCAGCCGCGGUAAUACGUAGGGCGCAAGCGUUGUCCGGAAUUAUUGGGCGUAAAGAGCUCGUAGGCGGCUUGUCACGUCGGAUGUGAAAGCCCGAGGCUUAACCUCGGGUCUGCAUUCGAUACGGGCUAGCUAGAGUGUGGUAGGGGAGAUCGGAAUUCCUGGUGUAGCGGUGAAAUGCGCAGAUAUCAGGAGGAACACCGGUGGCGAAGGCGGAUCUCUGGGCCAUUACUGACGCUGAGGAGCGAAAGCGUGGGGAGCGAACAGGAUUAGAUACCCUGGUAGUCCACGCCGUAAACGUUGGGAACUAGGUGUUGGCGACAUUCCACGUCGUCGGUGCCGCAGCUAACGCAUUAAGUUCCCCGCCUGGGGAGUACGGCCGCAAGGCUAAAA
rnacentral:rRNA from 1 species